rnacentral:lncRNA from 12 species
CACACAGGUGACACUCAGGUGACACAGAACACACAGUGACACACCCCAGUUUAUUGCCACGGUGACCCCCAAAACCCACGGGGUCCCCAGGGUCAGCUGGGCACUGCACUGGUCAUGCUGGACAUCCCAGGGGCCAGCUGGACACUGCACUGGUCAUCCCAGGGGUCAGCCGGUCACUGCACUGAUUGCCAUGGCCAUGUCCUGGUGUCCCCACAGUGGUCACUGCGCCACGGUGGUGCCACUGCAGUGGUCACUGCUCCGUGGCAAUGUCCCCUUGGUGUCCCAGUGGUCAGUCACUGACCCAUGGCUGUGUCCAUGCAGUGGUCACUGCAGUGACCACUGCUCUGUGAAAACGUCCCCACAGUGGUCACUCCAUUGGUCACUGCUCCAUGGCCGUGUCCUGGGGUGGUCACGGUGGUCAGUCCCUGUGCUGGUCACUGCUCCAUGGCUGUGUCCUCGCAGUGAUCACUGCAGCGGUCACUCCGUUGGUCAGUCACUCCUCCAUGGCCGUGUCCUCGCAGCGAUCACCGCAGCGCUCACUCCAUUGGUCAGUCACUGUUCCAUGGCUAUGUCCUGGGGUGGUCACUUUGGUCACCGCAGCGGUCACGCCGCUGGUCACUCACUCCUCCAUGGCGGCGUGGCGGCGCAGCGAUCACUGCAGUGGUCACUCUGCUGGUCAGUCACUGCUCCAUGGCCGUGUCCUCGCAGCGAUCACCGCAGCGGUCACUCCGUUGGUCAGUCACUGCUCCAUGGCCGUGUCCUCGCAGCGAUCACCGCAGUGGUCACUCCGUUGGUCAGUCACUGUUCCACGGCCGUGUCCUCGCAGCGGUCACCGCAGCGGUCACUCCGUGGGUCAGUCACCGUUCCACGGCCACCCCCCCCCCCCCCCCCCCCCCCCCCCCCCCCCCCCCCCCCCCCCCCCCCCCCCCCCCCCCCCCCCCCCCCCCCCCCCCCCCCCCCCCCC